AUUGAACGCUGGCGGCAGGCCUAACACAUGCAAGUCGAGCGGAUGAAGAGAGCUUGCUCUCUGAUUCAGCGGCGGACGGGUGAGUAAUGCCCAGGAAUCUGCCUGGUAGUGGGGGACAACGUUUCGAAAGGAACGCUAAUACCGCAUACGUCCUACGGGAGAAAGUGGGGGAUCUUCGGACCUCACGCUAUCAGAUGAGCCUAGGUACGAUUAGCUAGUUGGUGAGGUAAAAGCUCACCAAGGCGACGAUCGUUAACUGGUCUGAGAGGAUGAUCAGUCACACUGGAACUGAGACACGGUCCAGACUCCUACGGGAGGCAGCAGUGGGGAAUAUUGGACAAUGGGCGAAAGCCUGAUCCAGCCAUGCCGCGUGUGUGAAGAAGGUCUUCGGAUUGUAAAGCACUUUAAGUUGGGAGGAAGGGCAGUAAGUUAAUACCUUGCUGUUUUGACGUUACCGACAGAAUAAGCACCGGCUAACUUCGUGCCAGCCGCCGCCGUAA
rnacentral:rRNA from 1 species